UACGUAGGGUGCGAGCGUUAAUCGGAAUUACUGGGCGUAAAGCGUGCGCAGGCGGUUCGUUGUGUCGGCGGUGAAAUCCCCGGGCUCAACCUGGGAAUGGCCGUUGAAACUGGCGAACUGGAGUGUGGCAGAGGGGGGUGGAAUUCCGCGUGUAGCAGUGAAAUGCGCAGAUAUCGGGAGGAACACCGGUGGCGAAGGCGGUUCUCUGGGCCUUACCUGACGCUGAGGAGCGAAAGCGUGGGGAGCGAACAGG
rnacentral:rRNA from 1 species